rnacentral:rRNA from 3 species
CUUGAAGACUACGAGGUUGAUAGGUCUGAGGUGUAAGUGCGGUAACGCAUUCAGCUGACAGAUACUAAUAGGUCGAAGACUUAUCCUG